GAAAUGCGAUAAGUAGUGUGAAUUGCAGAAUUCAGUGAAUCAUCGAAUCUUUGAACGCACAUUGCGCCCCUUGGUAUUCCAUGGGGCAUGCCUGUUCGAGCGUCAUUUGUACCCUCAAGCUCUGCUUGGUGUUGGGUGUUUGUCCCGUCUCCGCGCGUGGACUCGCCCCAAAGUGAUUGGCAGCCGGCGUACUGGUCCCGGAGCGCAGCACAUGUCGCGCAAACGAGUGCCUUGGUACGGCGGCGUCCAUAAGCCCCUCUCUCACGCUCUUGACCUCGGAUCAGGUAGGGAUACCCGCAGAACUUAAGC
rnacentral:misc_RNA from 1 species